rnacentral:lncRNA from 1 species
GCUGCUUACUUUUGCCUCAAGAACUUCUACGCCCUCAGCGUCAUGGUGGUAUGUGACCAACCCUGCCGAUGACUGCCCUCGCACUCGGGGCCCGUGCACGACGCCUUCAUGUAGAAGACAUCCACCGUCAGCCAGGACUUGGGCAGUGGACUCCGUGGCCAGGGUGGUGAAUAGCUGCUUGGUGAUAGUGCAUACUCGCUUCAACCUUGGCUGCUUAACCCCAUCCCUGGAGC